rnacentral:rRNA from 1 species
GACGAACGCUGGCGGCGUGCCUAAUACAUGCAAGUUGAGCGCUGAAGGUUGGUACUUGUACCAACUGGAUGAGCAGCGAACGGGUGAGUAACGCGUGGGGAAUCUGCCUUUGAGCGGGGGACAACAUUUGGAAACGAAUGCUAAUACCGCAUAAAAACUUUAAACACAAGUUUUAAGUUUGAAAGAUGCAAUUGCAUCACUCAAACAUGAUCCCGCGUUGUAUUAGCUAGUUGGUGAGGUAAAGGCUCACCAAGGCGAGGAUACAUAGCCGACCUGAGAGGGUGAUCGGCCACAUUGGGACUGAGACACGGCCCAAACUCCUACGGGAGGCAGCAGUAGGGAAUCUUCGGCAAUGGACGAAAGUCUGACCGAGCAACGCCGCGUGAGUGAAGAAGGUUUUCGGAUCGUAAAACUCUGUUGGUAGAGAAGAACGUUGGUGAGAGUGGAAAGCUCAUCAAGUGACGGUAACUACCCAGAAAGGGACGGCUAACUACGUG